CCUGGGUUGAAGCUCAGUGGUCCAACAGGCCUGGAAUGACCAGCCUGGGGAGGUUAAUAUUCAAUUAUUUAGUGUUUAGGCAGUGUCACCCCUCCCAGCAGACUCCAUAUCUCAGGCAGAGGCUUUAAUCUCAUCUUUUGAGGAAAGGGGAGGGAAAAAAUACACACCCAAGCACCCAGGAUCUCAUACUUCUGUGCUGUGGGACCUAAGGAUGUGUUAGCAGAUGCAAAUGUCCAUCACCUGCUCCUUAUCCUGGCUCUGAAAAAAAAUAUUCAAGGACCUUCCUUGCAGUUGCAAAGCUUUACCACAACUGUGUUUUAACCUCUCUUCACUUUGAUCUGCUCAGCUGCAGUUUUGCUUCCUGCAGGUGAUUCCAUGUUCCUGCAGGAGCUGAUCCCUCGACUGGCACCUCCCUGGCUGAGCAUCUGUGCCCAGGGAUGGGGAGGGCACAUCCUCCAAGCCCUUGGCUUGGAAAAAUGACCUCUAAUUAACAAGAAAUGCAAGAAUUCCGCUGUGAAAAUAGUUUCCACCCAGCAUGGAAAUGAGCUCAGCUCUGGAGCACGCUGGCCCCAGCAGCUGGGGUUGUGCUGCUCAUUUGCAGUGGGGUGGUGGGGCUCAAAUCAGAGUUCAGGUCACCCAUCAAGGGGGAUUUCCUCUGCCCGGUCUCACUUUCAGUCCCUAUUUGGGAUCUGUCUUGCACUUUUCCAUGGAAAGACCAACAACUUCAUGGGAAUGUUCUCAGUGUGAAGAGUGGAAUACCUUUCCUUCAGGAGACUCUCUGAUGACGCCACCACUGAUCUCAGCAGCUCUGCUGGGACCAGAGCAGAACUCCGGCCUGUUUAACCCCUCUCACAUAAAACCAGAUUGAAAUCAAAUGGUUCUGUCAAAUAGUUCUGUCAAUCACUGCACACGGGUGUUGCUUUCCUGCAGGUUUGAGGUCAGGUUGUGCUGUCCACAUGGGAAUCCCACAGGAUGUGUAGGAGAUUUCUGAGGUCUCUCACCUCUGCUCAGGUGUCUGUUUUCAUGAAACUUGAGAAAAUCAUUAGUUUUGUGACUGUGGAAUUGGAGAAAGGGGUAAAAGGUUGCACCAGGGAGGAGUGGGAGAGGAAUAACAUCUACAUCCACACAUCCCACCCCGUUGUGUUAGAAAAGUACUCUGAUAUUUCCUGUUUUUCAUUUUCUACACCAACAGCAUCAUUGCUUCCUGCUGGAGGUGCAUGGAAACUGCUUCUGUUUGCCCCUGUAAU